AGCAGUCGCCGCGGUAAUACGAAGGGUGCAAGCGCUAAUCGGAAUUACUAGGCGUAAAGCGUGCGUAGGCGGUGAGUUAAGUCUGCUGUGAAAUCCCCGGGCUCAACCUGGGAAUGGCAGUGGAUACUGGCUCGCUAGAGUGUGUCAGAGGAUGGUGGAAUUCCCGGUGUAGCGGUGAAAUGCGUAGAGAUCGGGAGGAACAUCAGUGGCGAAGGCGGCCAUCUGGGACAACACUGACGCUGAGGCACGAAAGCGUGGGGAGCAAACAGGAUUAGAUACCCGCGUAGUCCCUGUCUCUUAUAC
rnacentral:rRNA from 1 species